rnacentral:lncRNA from 1 species
UCCAUAGCUGAGGUUCUAUAAUUGUCCUUUUAUUUAUAGGAACAACUCCAAAAUAGUUCGCCUUUAUUGAAGGGUAAGAGAAGAGAUUAGUAUCUUCUUGCUCUUCCAAGAUUUAAUUUCUGUUCUCAUCAAAACUAUAAAGUCCUCAAAAGUACAGGUUAUGUCCCCAUCUUCCUGGCUAUUUCACCCCAGCAAACUGAAGGAUUGAGGACACUCUGUAAUUACUACAGGAUAAAAGGAUACUUACCGAUUGUCUGGUUAUUAUUACCAUUAUGAAAGCAACAUUUAUUAAGUAUCUAUUUUGUUCAUGGAAAUAGGUACUGGAGAUAUAAAGAAAUUAAGAACUGCCCAAAAGGAAACUACAACUUGAUAAGGGAAACUAGACAUCUUUAAAGCAGCUGCUAAGGCCUGUAGGUGAUGAAGGCCAAGUCCAUGUACCUUCCAGGAAAAGAUAUCAGAGCAAGAAGCCUGAGGGGAGCUUGGCCCACAGAAGUUUCUAUCUCUCUCCGUGCUUCAAGGCCUACAUAGCUCAUGUAAGUGUGCCCGCUCCUGAGGAGUUGGAGGGGAGACAAGCCAGUUGGCUGUCUCCUUUCUGGCCCCAGGGGCUGGAAGUCCUAACUGCAGGGGCUUUCUCACAGUGCAAGAGACUAAAACCUACCUGGAACUCCUGUACCAACCCAUAGGUAAAGAGACCAUCAGUCUUCGCAGCUCUGGGAGUUCUCCCCACUUAAGGUAUCCUAGCAACUGGACCGGAGACCCAUUGAGCAGACAAGGGAAAAUAACAACACAGAUAAGGGAGUCCGGAAGUCAGAGAGGAGAAAAAGUGUCUCAGAAUUUUCCCUAAAAAGGAUGACUCCUAAUGAUAACUAGCCAACACAUUUAUGUAACCCCCCCUCAAAAAAAAAGAAAAGAAAAAAGCAAAAGAUUAAAACAUUCAAGAUUAAAACAUUCAAGGGGAGAAUUUAAGGAGAAGAGGGUUCCUAUGUAGAAACAAGUUAGUGAACUGAAAAUCAAGCAGAAGAAAUAUCUCACAGCUCAAAGCAAACAUAUAAAAAUACAGAAAUAAUAAGUGAAAACACGAACAACUUGUAAGAUAAAUAUAGGAGACCAAACAUGCAAAUAACAUUAACGGAAGAAGACAUUUAAGCUAGAAGAGAGGCAAAAAUUAAAUUAUUAAAAAAUAGAAGACAAUAGGAAAAAAAAUCACUGCGCUGAAGGGGGAAAUUGGUCUUCAGAUUAUAAGGGAUCAUCAGGUCCUACACAUGCCCAAACAGCCUAAAGUAGGGUAAAUUUGAAAGUAAGAACAUGGCUAAGACCACUUUUUCAUUUACAGCUGAGCCCAGAGUAGUGCCUUCCACAUAGUAAGCACUCAAUGAAUAUUUUUAAAUGAAUGAAAAAUACUUUCUUACAAGCUUUCAGAGAGAAAGAACUAAGUAUUUUAAAAGGUAAAAUCAGACUGGUAUUAAUCUCCUCAUGCAAAAUUGGAAGUUAGAUCAUGGCAGAACAAAAAGAGAACAAAAACUGUAUGCCCCAAAGAUUCCACACACAGUCUUUUCCUGUGAGACAACAUUUCCCUAUUAGAAUGACAGAAAGAUAAUUGUGCAUUUGCUAGUUUUUGAGAUCACCCAUAUAUCUGAAGAAAAACCUCUAAGAAUGAUGCUAACCAAGAAGCAAAUGUAUCAGGACACAGAUCUCAGGAUAGAAAAGAAUGAGGAAGAAAAGAAAAAAUAGUGAGAAAUUUCCAUUCAUCGAGCUUAUUUCCAGAAUACUAAGGUGACUCAAUAUCAGGACUCUAUCAACAUUAUCACUUACACUAACGAAUUAAAGGACAAAUGUGUCACAGAUGCAGAAAAGUUAUCUUUGGUAAAAUUCAGCAGCUAUUUAUUUAAAAACUAAGUAAAAUUGUUAUAUGAAAGCAGAAGUAAAAUAUGCAAACACCAUUUACCAAUUACCAGCAGUGAAUAUCAUUCAAAACUGGGUAAUACUGAACCCAUUAAAAUUAAAAUUAAUUAAUUAAAAUAAAUUAAUUAAAAUCAAUAAUCAAGAGACAGUGAUGCUAUUAUUGUCAUUAUUAUUCAAUAAUGUAUUGAUU